ncrna:unclassified sequences cow-rumen-2 RNA
AUCGAAGACGGAAGUAGCGAUUCCGUUAAAAAAGCCGCCAUUGGCAGUAUAGGAUGUAGCUGGAAUACAGGAUGACCGAUCCAUAAGCCUAUAUGUAAGACCCGAGA